CCCCCAGCCCGGCCCGGCCCCUGCCCCGGGGGGCCCCGCUCGGAGGGAAGUUUUUGGCUCAGAAAUGCUGUUACUGGGAGGGUCUGAAGAACCUGAAGGAAAUUGGAGUGUGACAUGGACUGAAGCCCCUUCUGUAACCUCCCCCAUUGCCCCUCUCGCCCUGACAGGCUGAAGAAUCAGGUCCACAUUUCGCUCCAGAUCAGCCCAUCUUCUAGGAGACAGGGAAGGGAAAUGGCUGUGAUGGAGCCAGCUCAGAUGCCGGUGACCUUCGAGGAGGUGGCUGUGUAUUUCACCCAGGGGCAGG